rnacentral:misc_RNA from 1 species
UCUCCGUUGGUGAACCAGCGGAGGGAUCAUUACAGAGUUGCAAAACUCCCAACCCUUUGUGAACGAACCUGACAGUUGCUUCGGCAGAAGGCCCUUCACUGGGCAGCCCGCCGGAGGGUCUCCAAACUCUUGUUUUUUUAGGCAUCUCUGAGUCUUCUGUACUGAAUAAGUCAAAACUUUCAACAACGGAUCUCUUGGUUCUG